GCAAACGGGUGAGGAAUAUAUAGGAAUCUACCUAGCAGUAUGGAAUAACUUUCGGAAACGGAAGCUAAUACCAUAUAUUACCGAUUUAUCGGGAAAGAUUUAUCGCUGUUAGAUGAGCCUGUACCAGAUUAGCUUGUUGGUGGGGUAAUGGCCUACCAAGGCAAUGAUCUGUAGCUGGUCUGAGAGGAUGAUCAGCCACACUGGGACUGCGACACGGCCCAGACUUC
rnacentral:rRNA from 1 species